GACGAACGCUGGCGGCGUGCCUAAUACAUGCAAGUAGAACGCUGAAGAGAGGAGCUUGCUCUUCUUGGAUGAGUUGCGAACGGGUGAGUAACGCGUAGGUAACCUGCCUUGUAGCGGGGGAUAACUAUUGGAAACGAUAGCUAAUACCGCAUAACAAUGGAUGACACAUGUCAUUUAUUUGAAAGGGGCAAUUGCUCCACUACAAGAUGGACCUGCGUUGUAUUAGCUAGUAGGUGAGGUAACGGCUCACCUAGGCGACGAUACAUAGCCGACCUGAGAGGGUGAUCGGCCACACUGGGACUGAGACACGGCCCAGACUCCUACGGGAGGCAGCAGUAGGGAAUCUUCGGCAAUGGGGGCAACCCUGACCGAGCAACGCCGCGUGAGUGAAGAAGGUUUUCGGAUCGUAAAGCUCUGUUGUAAGUCAAGAACGAGUGUGAGAGUGGAAAGUUCACACUGUGACGGUAGCUUACCAGAAAGGGACGGCUAACUACGUGCCAGCAGCCGCGGUAAUACGUAGGUCCCGAGCGUUGUCCGGAUUUAUUGGGCGUAAAGCGAGCGCAGGCGGUUUGAUAAGUCUGAAGUUAAAGGCUGUGGCUCAACCAUAGUUCGCUUUGGAAACUGUCAAACUUGAGUGCAGAAGGGGAGAGUGGAAUUCCAUGUGUAGCGGUGAAAUGCGUAGAUAUAUGGAGGAACACCGGUGGCGAAAGCGGCUCUCUGGUCUGUAACUGACGCUGAGGCUCGAAAGCGUGGGGAGCGAACAGGAUUAGAUACCCUGGUAGUCCACGCCGUAAACGAUGAGUGCUAGGUGUUGGAUCCUUUCCGGGAUUCAGUGCCGCAGCUAACGCAUUAAGCACUCCGCCUGGGGAGUACGACCGCAAGGUUGAAACUCAAAGGAAUUGACGGGGGCCCGCACAAGCGGUGGAGCAUGUGGUUUAAUUCGAAGCAACGCGAAGAACCUUACCAGGUCUUGACAUCCCGAUGCUAUUUCUAGAGAUAGAAAGUUACUUCGGUACAUCGGUGACAGGUGGUGCAUGGUUGUCGUCAGCUCGUGUCGUGAGAUGUUGGGUUAAGUCCCGCAACGAGCGCAACCCCUAUUGUUAGUUGCCAUCAUUCAGUUGGGCACUCUAGCGGGACUGCCGGUAAUAAACCGGAGGAAGGUGGGGAUGACGUCAAAUCAUCAUGCCCCUUAUGACCUGGGCUACACACGUGCUACAAUGGUUGGUACAACGAGUUGCGAGUCGGUGACGGCAAGCUAAUCUCUUAAAGCCAAUCUCAGUUCGGAUUGUAGGCUGCAACUCACCUACAUGAAGUCGGAAUCGCUAGUAAUCGCGGAUCAGCACGCCGCGGUGAAUACGUUCCCGGGCCU
rnacentral:rRNA from 1 species